GCUCUGGUGGGCUAUUGAGAUAAUUCAACUUCCAGAGGCUUCCUCAUAAAUUUUUGGAAUUUUUGAGACACAGAUAAACUUCGGGUGAUCAAGGUCAGCUAUUUUUCUGCAUCCAGCAUCCACAAUAGUCAUCGGUGUACUGCCACAAGAGGAGACAUUUUUCAGAAUAACCUGUCCCUUUCCUCACAGGUUAUGAAAAGAUUACUUAACUAUAUUAUUAUUAUCUAAAUUUGUAAUUUAGAACUCCGCAUGUACUAGUAGUAGCAUUAAUCCUGUCAGGGAUUGCAUGAACUUAAGUUUUUGUAUUAACAAAUGAAAAUUUUUUAUGAGUUUUAAAUAGUUUAUAAAUGGUGUAACAGGGUUGAGUUGGGCUCCCCUAAUUUUAGUUUCUGAUAAUUACUGGGCUAAGUUGGCCCGAAAUAAAGU